rnacentral:rRNA from 1 species
GACGAACGCUGGCGGCGUGCCUAAUACAUGCAAGUAGAACGCUGAAGAGAGGAGCUUGCUCUUCUUGGAUGAGUUGCGAACGGGUGAGUAACGCGUAGGUAACCUGCCUGGUAGCGGGGGAUAACUAUUGGAAACGAUAGCUAAUACCGCAUAAAAUGGAUUAUCGCAUGAUAAUUCAUUGAAAGGUGCAAAUGCAUCACUACCAGAUGGACCUGCGUUGUAUUAGCUAGUUGGUGGGGUAACGGCUCACCAAGGCGACGAUACAUAGCCGACCUGAGAGGGUGAUCGGCCACACUGGGACUGAGACACGGCCCAGACUCCUACGGGAGGCAGCAGUAGGGAAUCUUCGGCAAUGGACGGAAGUCUGACCGAGCAACGCCGCGUGAGUGAAGAAGGUUUUCGGAUCGUAAAGCUCUGUUGUAAGAGAAGAACGAGUGUGAGAGUGGAAAGUUCACACUGUGACGGUAUCUUACCAGAAAGGGACGGCUAACUACGUGCCAGCAGCCGCGGUAAUACGUAGGUCCCGAGCGUUGUCCGGAUUUAUUGGGCGUAAAGCGAGCGCAGGCGGUUAGAUAAGUCUGAAGUUAAAGGCUGUGGCUUAACCAUAGUACGCUUUGGAAACUGUUUAACUUGAGUGCAAGAGGGGAGAGUGGAAUUCCAUGUGUAGCGGUGAAAUGCGUAGAUAUAUGGAGGAACACCGGUGGCGAAAGCGGCUCUCUGGCUUGUAACUGACGCUGAGGCUCGAAAGCGUGGGGAGCAAACA